rnacentral:rRNA from 1 species
AUUGAACGCUAGCGGGAUGCCUUACACAUGCAAGUCGAACGGAGUGGCGAACGGGUGAGUAAUGUAUCGGAACGUGCCCAGUAGCGGGGGAUAACUACGCGAAAGCGUAGCUAAUACCGCAUACUAUUGGAGCGGCCGAUAUCGGAGUAGCUAGUUGGUGGGGGAACGGCUCACCAAGGCGACGAUCCGUAGCUGGUUUGAGAGGCCGACCAGCCACACUGGGACGGAGCCACGGCCAAGACUCCUACGGACGGCAGCAGUGGGGAAUUUUGGACAAUGGGAGAAACAUAGAUCCAGCCAUGCCGCGUGUGCAAUGAAGGCCUUCGGGUUGUAAAGCACUUUUGGCAGGGAAGCGGUACCUGAAGAAGAAGCACCGGCUAACUACGUGCCAGCAGCCGCGGUAAUUC